rnacentral:rRNA from 1 species
GACGAACGCUGGCGGCGUGCUUAACACAUGCAAAUCGAACGGUAAGGCCCUUCGGGGUACACGAGUGGCGAACGGGUGAGUAACACGUGGGUGAUCUGCCCUGCACUUCGGGAUAAGCCUGGGAAACUGGGUCUAAUACCGGAUAGGACCACUGCCUGCAUGGGUGGUGGUGGAAAGCUUUUGCGGUGUGGGAUGGGCCCGCGGCCUAUCAGCUUGUUGGUGGGGUGUUGGCCUACCAAGGCGACGACGGGUAGCCGGCCUGAGAGGGUGACCGGCCACACUGGGACUGAGAUACGGCCCAGACUCCUACGGGAGGCAGCAGUGGGGAAUAUUGCACAAUGGGCGCAAGCCUGAUGCAGCGACGCCGCGUGAGGGAUGACGGCCUUCGGGUUGUAAACCUCUUUCAGCACCGACGAAGCGCAAGUGACGGUAGGUGCAGAAGAAGGACCGGCCAACUACGUGCCAGCAGCCGCGGUAA